rnacentral:rRNA from 1 species
GUAAGGAAUAUUGGUCAAUGGGGGCAACCCUGAACCAGCCAUGCCGCGUGAAGGAUGAAGGCGUUAUGCGUUGUAAACUUCUUUUGUAUGGGAAGAAUGACAGGGAUUCAUCCUUGGAGAGACGGUACAAUACGAAUAAGCACAGGCUACCUCCGUGCCAGCAGCCGCGGUAAUACGGAGGGUGCAAGCGUUAUCCGGAAUCACGGGGUUUAAAGGGUACGUAGGCGGUUAAUUAAGUCAGUAGUGAAAGACUGUCGCUCAACGACGGAUGUGCUAUUGAUACUGGUUAACUUGAAUCAGGUUAGAGUUGGCGGAAUGGGUCAUGUAGCGGUGAAAUGCUUAGAUAUGACUUGGAACACCGAUAGCGAAGGCAGCUGACUGAGCCUUGAUUGACGCUGAGGUACGAAAGUGUGGGUAGCGAACAGGAUUAGAAACCCGGGUAGUCC